AUGGCGGAUUCAAAGUCUCUACAACAGCUGAAAAGAGAGAGAACGACUGCCAAGCAGAGGUUCACCCGACAAGCAAACUCACUUCUGAAGUCCUGCCGGAAAAUGUCGGCGGAAGAACUGAUGGAAGCCUUCAGCAAGGUCAAGCUUGAGGCUGAAAAGGUGAUGGAGGCAAAUGAGGAGGUGGAAAUCUUCACAGACGAGUCGGAGCUCGAAGCCACUGCGAAAGCAGACAUCAAUGCUGAGGUGAAGAGAACGACGGAGGACUGCGAACAGAAACUGGAAGAGGUGGAGGAUGUCGUCCAAAAGGUGCUGUGGCAAAAUUUUGGCUGCGCUGAACUCGCUCUGGCACUGGAGGCAGCUGAAAAGGACUGCAAGCGGCUGACGGGAAGAAAGUCCGACCUGAGGCUGGAGGUUUAUGAGCUGAUGCUCAGCAACCUUGAGCGGCUGGUGAGAACGAAAGACACCAUGCGGCAAUGGACUCGGUGGGUCCCAGAUGAGGAGCGACCUGACUACCAGCAGCGCAUCAGGAAUGUGGAGGGCUCACUGUUGGAGUUAACCUCUGAGAAGGCUGGCCUGCUGCAGACAAAGCUGGACAGCAAGUCCUCAGAAAAAACAUCACAACAGUCACCCAACAUCAAGCUGAAGCCAACAGCGCUUCCACAGUUUGAUGGCAACAAGCGCAACUUCUACCUCUGGAGAAGGGAAUGGGAGGCACUCCAAAGGCAAGGAGAACCAACCGGGUCCAAAGAGGUGAAGAAGAUCCAGCUGUUGGGCAGCCUGGAGGACAAAGUGGCAAGAGAUCUGCGCCUGUCAACUUACGGGACGGCAGAGGAGAUCUUCCGGGUCCUCGGAAACCGGUUUGGCAACAAAACUUCUAUUGCAUUGGAAAUCAUUGAGGAACUACAGGCGCUGCCACCAGUAAAAAGUCACCAACCUAGGAAGAUUGUGGACUUAAUCCAAAUCGUGGAAAGGGCCCUGUACGACCUCAGUGCACUGGGAAACACUGGCGCUCUAAAGAACCCACUCGUCACGAAGUCCCUGGAAAGUAAGCUGGCAGAGGGCCUAAAGAAAGAAUGGCUGCUCCAUGUGGCAGAAGAGGAAGACUCUGAAGACGCCUCCCCGGAAGACAGGUUUGACAUGCUCCUCAAGUUCCUGAGAAGUCAGGAGAAGAUUUAUGAGCAGCUAGACCAACUGAAGGAUGAUGAACCCAGCAGGAGAGACAUUAGAGUCCCACAAAGGCAUGCGCACACAAAGACCACCAACUCCCAAAGCACCCAAGCACCCUGCGUUGUCUGUGGAGAGAGGGGCCACAGAAAAAAGCUGUACUACUGCAAAAAAUUCAAAACUUUCAAAGUACCUGAGAAGAAGGAAGCAGUUGAGCGGAUCAGCGCAUGUGGGAGGUGUCUCGAGGUCCACGACGUUUACGCAGAGUGCAAGACCACCUUCCUGUGA
rnacentral:lncRNA from 1 species